rnacentral:rRNA from 1 species
GAUGAACGCUGGCGGCGUGCCUAAUACAUGCAAGUCGAGCGAACGGACGAGAAGCUUGCUUCUCUGAUGUUAGCGGCGGACGGGUGAGUAACACGUGGAUAACCUACCUAUAAGACUGGGAUAACUUCGGGAAACCGGAGCUAAUACCGGAUGAUAUUUUGAACCGCAUGGUUCAAAAGUGAAAGACGGUCUUGCUGUCACUUAUAGAUGGAUCCGCGCUGCAUUAGCUAGUUGGUAAGGUAACGGCUUACCAAGGCAACGAUGCAUAGCCGACCUGAGAGGGUGAUCGGCCAGACUGGAACUGAGACACGGUCCAGACUCCUACGGGAGGCAGCAGUAGGGAAUCUUCCGCAAUGGGCGAAAGCCUGACGGAGCAACGCCGCGUGAGUGAUGAAGGUCUUCGGAUCGUAAAACUCUGUUAUUAGGGAAGAACAUAUGUGUAAGUAACUGUGCACAUCUUGACGGUACCUAAUCAGAAAGCCACGGCUAACUACGUG